rnacentral:snRNA from 1 species
UGUCCGAGUUUCGCGGUUCGGAA